rnacentral:rRNA from 1 species
GACGGAGGAUGCAAGCGUUAUCCGGAAUUAUUGGGCGUAAAGCGUCCGCAGGCGGCUGUUCAAGUCUGCUGUCAAAGUGCAGAGCUUAACUCUGUACAGGCGGUGGAAACUGAAGAGCUAGAGUAUGGUAGGGGUAGAGGGAAUUCCCGGUGUAGCGGUGAAAUGCGUAGAGCUCGGGAAGAACAUCGGUGGCGAAAGCGCUCUACUGGACUGCAACUGACACUCAGGGACGAAAGCCAGGGGAGCGAACGGG